rnacentral:rRNA from 1 species
AGCGAACUCUGGCGGCAGGCCUAACACAUGCAAGUCGAACGAACCUUUCGGGGUUAGUGGCGGAAGGGUGAGUAACACGUGGGAACGUGCCUUUAGGUUCGGAAUAACUCAGGGAAACUUGUGCUAAUACCGAAUGUGCCCUUCGGGGGAAAGAUUUAUCGCCUUUAGAGCGGCCCGCGUCUGAUUAGCUAGUUGGUUGAGGUAAUGGCUCACCAAGGCGACGAUCAGUAGCUGGUCUGAGAGGAUGAUCAGCCACAUUGGGACUGAGACACGGCCCAAACUCCUACGGGAGGCAGCAGUGGGGAAUCUUGCGCAAUGGGCGAAAGCCUGACGCAGCCAUGCCGCGUGAAUGAUGAAGGUCUUAGGAUUGUAAAAUUCUUUCACCGGGGACGAUAAUGACGGUACCCGGAGAAGAAGCCCCGGCUAACUUCGUG